AUUGUCUAAUACGACCAAGCUACAUUUGCUUGAUUCCCUUCUACAAGAG
rnacentral:misc_RNA from 1 species